GAUGAACGCUGGCGGUGUGCCUAAUACAUGCAAGUCGAGCGAACAGACGAGGAGCUUACUCCUCUGACGUUAGCGGCGGACGGGUGAGUAACACGUGGAUAACCUACCUAUAAGACUGGGAUAAAUUCGGGAAACCGGAGCUAAUACCGGAUAACAUGUUGAACCGCAUGGUUCAACAGUGAAAGACGGUCUUGCUGUCACUGAUAGAUGGAUCCGCGUCGCAUUAGCUAGUUGGUAAGGUAACGGCUUACCAAGGCAACGAUGAGUAGCCGACCUGAGAGAGUGGUCGGCCACACGGGGACUGAGACACGGUCCAGAGUCCUACGGGAGGCAGAGGUAGCGAAUCGUCCGAGAUGGGCGAAAGCCUGACGGAGCAACGCCGCGUGAGUGAAGAAGGUCUUCGGAUCGUAUAACUCUGUUAUUAGGGAAGAACAAAUGUGUAAGUAACUAUGCACGUCUUGACGGUACCUAAUCAGAAAGCCACGGCUAACUACGUG
rnacentral:rRNA from 1 species